rnacentral:rRNA from 1 species
GUCUUAAUUGGGCGUUAAGUUGCAGGGUAUAGACCCGAAACCCGGUGAUCUAGCCAUGGGCAGGUUGAAGGUUGGGUAACACUAACUGGAGGACCGAACCGACUAAUGUUGAAAAAUUAGCGGAUGACCUGUGGCUGGGGGUGAAAGGCCAAUCAAACCGGGAGAUAGCUGGUUCUCCCCGAAAGCUAUUUAGGUAGCGCCUCGUGAAUUCAUCUCCGGGGGUAGAGCACUGUUUCGGCUAGGGGGCCAUCCCGGCUUACCAACCCGAUGCAAACUGCGAAUACCGGAGAAUGUUAUCACGGGAGACACACGGCGGGUGCUAACGUCCGUCGUGAAGAGGGAAACAACCCAGACCGCCAGCUAAGGUCCCAAAGUCAUGGUUAAGUGGGAAACGAUGUGGGAAGGCCCAGACAGCCAGGAUGUUGGCUUAGAAGCAGCCAUCAUUUAAAGAAAGCGUAAUAGCUCACUGGUCGAGUCGGCCUGCGCGGAAGAUGUAACGGGGCUAAACCAUGCACCGAAGCUGCGGCAGCGAACGUAUCACCCAAGACAACUUUACGGAGUUGACGAUUGACGGAGCGAAGCGACGUCAAAGCGUUCAUUAAAGUCGAGUUGGCUUAGGGAUACGUUCGUUGGGUAGGGGAGCGUUCUGUAAGCCUGUGAAGGUGUGUCGUGAGGCAUGCUGGAGGUAUCAGAAGUGCGAAUGCUGACAUAAGUAACGAUAAAGCGGGUGAAAAGCCCGCUCGCCGGAAGACCAAGGGUUCCUGUCCAACGUUAAUCGGGGCAGGGUGAGUCGACCCCUAAGGCGAGGCCGAAAGGCGUAGUCGAUGGGAAACGGGUUAAUAUUCCCGUACUUGGUGUUACUGCGAAGGGGGGACGGAGAAGGCUAUGUUGGCCGGGCGACGGUUGUCCCGGUUUAAGCGUGUAGGUGUGUGUUCCAGGUAAAUCCGGUUCACUUUAACACUGAGGCGUGACGACGAGGCACUACGGUGCUGAAGCAACAAAUGCCCUGCUUCCAGGAAAAGCCUCUAAGCAUCAGGUAACACGAAAUCGUACCCCAAACCGACACAGGUGGUCAGGUAGAGAAUACCAAGGCGCUUGAGAGAACUCGGGUGAAGGAACUAGGCAAAAUGGUGCCGUAACUUCGGGAGAAGGCACGCUGACACGUAGGUGAAGUGAUUUACUCAUGGAGCUGAAGUCAGUCGAAGAUACCAGCUGGCUGCAACUGUUUAUUAAAAACACAGCACUGUGCAAACACGAAAGUGGACGUAUACGGUGUGACGCCUGCCCGGUGCCGGAA